UCCGCAAACGCUGAAACAAAAAUCAAGAUUUCGACAGCCAGAAAGAGCAUUGAGAAGGACGAGACAACAGAUAUACAGCAAGAGGACGACUCAAAAGCCUCAAAAGGAAAGGCUUUUCUUUUAUUGAGAAAGACCUGCUUUACAAAAGGGAAAAUCAAACUGAUGAAAAGCAAGAAGGCCAUGUCAUGGGGGAAGACCGUUCUUUCAAGGAGCAAGACCAAAAUGAGGAAGGGAGAGACUGCGUUUGUGGUGGGUACAACUACAAUCACUCAUGGAGAGACUACUAGUUCUUUGAGCAAGGCCACUUUAAGUCAAGGGGAGAAGUCUGUCACUGUAGUUAAGACUUCCCUCAAAAGAGGGAAGGAAAAGCAAUGGAAUCUCUACUGGGAUUUUCAUCUGUGACUUAAAGACACAAAUAUAACUGCAAACAGAAUAUGUACAGUAUAUGUAUAUGUUACCACAAAGACUGACUUUGAAGUAGAGCGUUCAAGCAGGUUGGAUGUCUUGUGAGAUGCAAGUGUUGGCCAGCUUGCUCUAGAAUUGCACACAAAUGCAUUCUGGAGGCAAAGUGAAGUGCAAGUGUACCUUAAUUAGCUUGGAACUGAGCAUGACGUCUUUGUCCCUGAAAGAGAAUACAUAUGAUUUUAAGAAAGAUUUGUCUGAGAACAUUUUCAGAGAUCAGGCGCCAAUCUGGUUUCCACGAAGAGAACAUGCAUGCAUGUGUGAGGGUGUGCACUUCCACAACUGGAAUGGCUUUUAUUGUUGUUCACAUGCAGAAGGGUCUAAGUUGGAUAAUGAUCGAGAAUCCAGAUCUGAGAUUCUGUUUUGCAAGUGGAAUUGUAUCAGUUAAUUGGUACUAACAUAACAAGUCAUAGAAAAACGUUUUAACUUCAACCACAGCCUUACAAAAUAAAAAUGUGCAUUGUUAAUUCUUUAACUUCUUAAUCUUACAUUAAUGUAGCAUAAAUCGACCAGUAUAAUAAUGAAUUAAAUCAGAAUUGUCAAUAAAUAGACCUUUAAAAUGGUAAACAAAAUUAUGUGUCUGUCUUUAAAAUAUUUCAGAGGGCUUAUUUUAAUUUACAUUAAGCUAAGCACACACUGUUGCUUGUCAAUGUGAUCACAAUCAUAUCUUAGGUAAAGCCACAGAACACUGUGCUGUUUCUUUUGUCAGACUGUACAACUGUAUUCAAGACUUUGGUACCACUCGUCCCGUUGACAGCAAGUAGUAAAUUUUUUACACCUCCAGAACGUCGUUGGUGGCUAAGAUUUAAAAGCAAGAGGCCAAAAACAAAUACACUGUGAACCUGGCUUUACCUUUUAACUUGCACAAUUAGCAAGCAUCUCAAAAAUUGGCUAUAUAUGAAACAAUCCUUCGGUUAUAACUAAUUUGACUACACAUUUUGGGGGUCUGAAAUAACAAACUCAUUAAAGUAGACCACACCCUUGAGUCUCAGCAAUCUGUCGUGGGCUCAGUCAACACAACACCUUUUUCAGAAGCCGUGUACAGUAUAAGACUUUGGAUAGCGGUUCUAGGGAGGCACAAUGCCACGGAACUGAGUGAUGUCACCACUGAUUGUGUCGCUCAACAAUGUGUUCUUCAGUGCCUCGCUUUAGCGACGGUACAAUGUGGUCUACUGUCCGCUCUGCCCCCGUAUAGAACUAAGGCCUCCUACGGCAGCCUCUGUCCAUUCACGGCACACAGGGGAGGUAUGUGGCCUUGCGAAGCCCACGUUAUGCUGCUCAACAAGUGCUUUAUGCUGCUGCAUGGGGGUUGCUCUCACCACGCUUAGCAUUCUUGUCCCAUCCCGACACUAGCUGUUUGGACUGUCACACCCAGCCAGGCACUGUCUGUGUGUGUUGGGAUGCGUUGCUGCCAGGGUACGCGAUGAGCCAUCGUAGCCUCAUCCUGUAGAGCCAGGAGAGCACAAGAUUCCCAAGGGAGAGUAGAGAAAAUUUAACCUUGAACUUGCUCCAGGUCAGAUUGUCUAGGCUGGCUGCUGGAGGGGACCUCCUGGAGCUUCUCCACCACCACCUUCGGUUCCACCAUGGGUAACACCAGUAUCACAGAGGGCAAGACAGCCCUCAACCUGGGGAGCACAUCAAUCAAGAGAGACAAGACCAAGAUCAUGAUGGGAAACUCUUCUAUCUCCCGCGGGAAGAGCACAACAUCCCUGGGCUCCUCCACCAUCACCAGUGGCAAGACAAAGAUCUCCAUGGGUGGCGCCUCUUUCAGCCGAGGCACCAAGACUACGUCCUUCCGAAAAGCUUUUAUGCCCAAGAGGAAGACUCUUUAAUGGCAAGUAAGGCCAAAUCUUUGGGGAGGGUGCAGGGUGCUAGGAGUGGUAUGGGGGGGACAGUUUCACCAAGCUGGGAACAAAGAAAACAUAAGCAAAUAUCACCAACAGCUGAGGAAACAUCAUCAUCACAGCGUACCUUCUGUGGAGAUAAUUUAUUGCAUCUUGCUAAAUUUUUUGCCAUUCAAAAAAAAAAAAAAAAAAAAUCCCUUUUGGACCAAGUCUAUUUUUUUGUUUUCAUUUCUCUGGAAUACAUCCCAGAUACAGAGUUCUUGAAUCAUCGGAGUCCACACCUUUACAUUACUAGCUUCAGCUGUCUGGAAAACCUUUUCAAGAAGAAAAGCAAAACGGGCCAUUCCAUUUUAUUGGAAAAUCAAGACUUGGAGACAUCAACAAGAGCCAUUCUUUAACCGCUGGAACUCUUACCUUUUGACUUUGACCUGGGAGGCAGUCACCAUGCCCUAUUUUACACUUCAUAAACCCUCGUUACUGCCAUACACUGUUACAAAUCUGAGCUAUUGUCUUGUAUAUGACAACAUUUGGAAGGUACUUCUAUCCAAAACAUCUACAAUGCAUUCAAUGUAUUUCAUUAGUAAAAACCAACCAAACAAACAUGUAAACGUAUAAUGAGUGCCCUUAUAGUGAAACCUUUAUUUAGCCCCUCUUAAACUGACAUUUGUUUAGUCUGAGUGUAAAAACUGAAAAAGUAGAAAACUGAAACUGUGUAAACUGUGUGACUGUCUAUAGUUAUGUCAGUGAUCAAGACUGUAUAUGUGUAACCAUUGUAAAAGAGGCAGCAGAAAUGCAACAUCGCUAAUGCUUUUGAUCUUAGCGCAGAAGGAACUCAGCUUUGAGAUAAGUGGGUGCGUUAUGGGGAGUGAAACUAAUCAUGUGUCUGUUGGUCAAAAACUCUUCUCCACAACGUCAAAAGCUCUCAGUUUCAGCAAAGAUGCUUCAGAUGAUAAAUAUAUUGGUUAGAUUUGCAGCUUAACUCAUCUCCCAUGAAGAACGGCCAAAAUCAAACAUUUCCCCGACCACUGAGAACUGCAACCUGGUAUAAAGCUAUAAACGAAGCAACAGCUUAAAUAAAUGAGCAUUGCUUUGUGGACUGAGAGACAUGACAAUGGGGGUGAGGGUUUGAUGAUUGAUUGAGAGUGAAGGAAAUGAAAUGUCUCCUGAUCUCAAUGUAUCAGAGAAAUACAACAAGGGAGGUUUUAGCUAUUCUGAGCUACGUGUCCCUAAGUAAUCUGAGCUAAUCACGAUCCAAUUUAAUUAAGCACUGUUUGAGAUUUCUUUGCUAGCAGCCAUUAAUUAAGAUUCAAAAAAAUCUUUUUUUUCUUGUCUUCGUCCUGUGUAUCUUGUUGUUAAAUGUUACAAACAACACUGGCGUGGCUUAACAAGGGAUGUGGGUAGCAGAGAAAGGCCUCUGCCCUUUUCAACAAAAGCGUCUUUGUGUUUAUAAUAAUCUGUGAGGUCUGAAGUCCAUUUUUGUAAUUCUUUCUUGUUCAUUUUUCCACCAUGCAUUAGCAUAGCAUGUGUUUCAUGUGUUUAACAGUUCCUACAUUAUGAUGGUAGAACCUUGGAAAGUUUGGUUCUAACCACAGUGCUGUAUGCUUAAUAAAUAUGUGCUGACAUUAAUGAA